AUGCUGCUGAUGCACGCAGGAGACCCGAUGCUGGUGAUGAGGGACGCGCUGCUGUGGCAGCUCCAGAAGGACCGCCUUCGCCAGGAGAUCAUCGUGGCCGAGCUGGCCAAGAUAGAGCGUGCCAUGGCCCUGCAUACCACUGGAGUUUCUGUUUAUACUUUAGAGGCUUCCCUUACAAUUUUCAUUAAAAAAAUGACACCAUGA
rnacentral:rRNA from 1 species